UGCCGGAGGUCACUGCUAUUGGAAUUCGAUUAAGACAUGCUUGUCGCGAGUCUUCGGGACUCGGCGGACGGCUUAGUAACACACGGUUAACCUGCCCUAAGGUGGGGGAUAACUUCGGGAAACUGAGGAUAAUACCCCAUAGAUAAUAGAUGCUGGAAUGCACUGUUAUUGAAAGAUUUAUCGCCUUAGGAUGGAACCGUGGCCUAUCAGGUUGUUGGUGGGGUAACGGCCCACCAAGCCAGCGACGGGUACGGGCUUUGAGAGAAGUAGCCCGGAGUUGGGGACUGAGACAAGGCCCCAGGCCCUACGGGGUGCAGCAGUUGCGAAACUUUCACAAUGCACGAAAGUGUGAUGAAGGGAUUCCAAGUGCCUGUCCACUGGGCAGGCUUUUCUCGAGCUUAGAAAGCUCGGGGAAUAAGGGCUGGGCAAGACCGGUGCCAGCAGCCGCGGUAACACCGGCGGCUCGAGUGGUGGCCAUUAUUACUGGGUUUAAAGCGUUUGUAGCCGGACAUGUAGAUCCUUGGUGAAAUUGGCAGGCUUAACCUGUCAGCGUGCCGAGGAUAUCGCUUGUCUAGGGACCGGAAGAGGGCAACGGUACUGUCAGGGUAGAAGUGAAAUUCUAUAAUCCUUACAGGACCGCCAGUAGCGAAGGCGGUUGUCCAGGACGGGUUCGACGGUGAGAGACGAAACCUAGGGUAGCGAACGGGAUUAGAUACCCCGGUAGUCCUAGGCGUAAACGAUGCUUGCUAGAUGUCGCAAGUAUUACGAAUAAUUGCGGUGUCGAAGGGAAACCGUUAAGCAAGCCACCUGGGGAGUACGGUCGCAAGUCUGAAACUUAAAGGAAUUGGCGGGGGGGCACCACAAGGGGUGAAGCGUGCGGUUUAAUUGGAUUCAACGCCGGAAAACUCACCAGGGCCGACGGCAGAAUGAUGUUCAGGCUGAUGGUCUUAACAAACAAGCCGAGAGGAGGUGCAUGGCCGCCGACAGCUCGUGUCGUGAGAUGUCCUGUUAAGUCAGGCAACGAGCGAGACCGUCGCUCUCAGUUGCUAAUUUCUUCUCUGGAAGAAAUGCACACUGUGAGGACUGCAUGGGCUAACCAUGAGGAAGGAGGCGGCGACGGUAGGUCAGUAUGCCCCGAAUGCCUUGGGCUACACGCGUGCUGCAAUGGUCGAGACAAUGGGAUGCUACCCUGAAAAGGGACGCUAACCCCCUAAACUUGAUCGUAGUUCGGAUCGAGAACUGCAAUUCGUUCUCGUGAAGCUGGAAUCCCCAGUAAUCGCACUUCAUUAUAGUGCGGUGAAUACGUCCCUGCUCCUUGCACACACCGCCCGUCAAACCAGCCGAGUGAGCUUUUGGCGAGGCGCUCUCAUUAUGGGAGUGACGAACCAGGAGUUCGCAAGGGGGGUUAAGUCGUAACAAGGUA
rnacentral:rRNA from 1 species